CUAAAGGGGCGGAGUCUGGAGCAGGAUUCUUCUGUUUUUCUUAAAGUCUUCAUAUAUUGCUAAGACUUUCCCUAAUUGUGAGAAAGCUUGCUCCUGAUCCUUCCAAACUUAGAACGCUACGAAAAUUCAUACGCGGACCAAGUGUACUUCCACCUUAUUUUGACAUCAGUCUCCUGUUUGCCAAUCGUGAAUGUGCUGUUCAUCGUACGCAAACACUUGUAAUGGAACAGACUGUAAAACAUAAAGUCUCUGCCAUCCAUAGGUAUAACAUCUACUUGAGAAAACAAACAAGACAAUAAAUUUGUGGAACAGUAAGAGAAAAUGAGCUGCCUAACUGGCAGGUGCUGACUCUGAAUUCAACAUAACACGGUGAAGGAGCGAGGUUAGUUGGGCCUGGAAUAGAUGAAGUUUUCAAGGAGGAAGUGGAGCUUGAGCUGCUGAGGACUUUUUUCCUAAAGAAAACUCUUCACAGGACCCCGCUAUGGACAACAGAUACAAAUCUAGCUGACCUGUUUGAAGUUAGCGUGGGAGUGGAGACGGUGGCCCUGCUCAUGACCACUUGGCUUCUCUCUCACCCUCUCAGGCGACCCUUUGAGGCACGCUGCUGAUCUCUGGCUAAAACUAGAUAAAGUCCUGGCCGAUAAAGUCAUGAGGAUUGGAACUAGAGCGGCCCCAGAGGAAAUUAGAGACAGGAAUGAAUCCAAGAGACAUUUAAAGGAACAAACUGUUUCUCUCCACAGAUUAUAUACAGGAAACGAAGGAAAAGAAAGAGUAAACAAGAAUUACUAAACUGUUGGCCCAAGGAAAUAAAAACCUAGUAGUAAACUGAGAGAGAGUAUCUCAACAGGUACUUGUCGUUGGCAGACAGAGCCAGACCAAGGAGCCUGGUACCCAGAAACUAGAGACAAAUUAGGGCAGGAUGGGAAAGAUAAGAAGGUUCCUGUAGUCACCAACAGGAAGAGUCCAGACAGGCUGGUAAAGCAGCAGGGUUGUGUAUCAGUAGGCAAUAAGCAGGCAGACAGCUAGACUCUGAAAGUCUAGCAAUGGAUGUCCUGGCAGGCAGGCAGAGAAUAGAUUCCAGACAGUCUGGUGGCAGGCAGUAGGCAGAGGUUGAAGCAAACUGUAUGUAGCAGGAGUCCAGUCAUGGGGAUUGGGGCUAAGAAACAAAUUAGCAGUCCCUUAAGAGGUCUGGCAAUACAGUGCCAAACAAAGCAGGGCACCAGGCCUAAAGGAAUCGGCAUGGCAGAUGAAGUCUAUGAAGAGAGGCAGACACAGGCGAAUGAAAAUGGCACCCAAGACACCCAGUUAUUUCAACUGGUCUGUGAGAUCACAGUGGGACGAGAAGCGAUAGGUCCACUUGAUGCUAAGCCAUCACACUAUUGAAAUAGUGCUCCUUAAAUCCUCUCUGACCAGGAGCAGGAUUGGUCCCAGUAAAGGAAAAGUAGACAGCAAGAAAAGGCCUGGAAACAAUAAUGACCAAUAAUGGUCACUUACCUAGAGGUAAAGGUUAACGUGUUCAGUUGUGAUGAUUACAGGGUUUGGGCUAGAAAGCCAGGCAGCUACAACAUAG
rnacentral:lncRNA from 1 species